UAAUAAGUGUUUUAUGGCACUUUUUAAAUCCAUAUCCACCUUGUGUGCAAUGUCAGUCGAUCUUCUUCAUGGAGAUUGACUAAACAUCAACCUUUAUUUUUUAACUCUUUGUCUGAAAAAUAUUAUGAAUAAACAAUUCAAAAUA
rnacentral:misc_RNA from 1 species